rnacentral:rRNA from 1 species
UACGGGGGGAGCAAGCGUUGUCCGGAAUUAUUGGGCGUAAAGCGCGCGCAGGCGGUCCUUUAAGUCUGAUGUGAAAGCCCACGGCUCAACCGUGGAGGGUCAUUGGAAACUGGAGGACUUGAGUACAGAAGAGGAAAGCGGAAUUCCACGUGUAGCGGUGAAAUGCGUAGAGAUGUGGAGGAACACCAGUGGCGAAGGCGGCUUUCUGGUCUGUAACUGACGCUGAGACGCGAAAGCGUGGGGAGCAAACAGG